rnacentral:rRNA from 1 species
AUACGUAGGGGGCAAGCGUUGUCCGGAUUUACUGGGUGUAAAGGGCGCGUAGGCGGAUUUUUAAGUCAGAGGUGAAAGCCUGCAGCUUAACUGCAGAACUGCCUUUGAUACUAUUAAUCUUGAGUACGGAAGAGAGAGACGGAAUUCCAGGUGUAGUGGUGAAAUACGUAGAUAUCUGGAAGAACACCAGUUGCGAAGGCGGUCUCUUGGUCCGAAACUGACGCUGAGGCGCGAAAGCGUGGGUAGCAAACAGGAUUAGAUACCCUGGUAGUCCACGCUGUAAACGAUGAAUACUAGGUGUUGGGUUGUAAAACUCAGUGCCGCAGCUAACGCAUUAAGUAUUCCACCUGGGGAGUACGAUCGCAAGGUUGAA